rnacentral:rRNA from 1 species
UACGAAGGGGGCUAGCGUUGCUCGGAAUGACUGGGCGUAAAGGGCGCGUAGGCGGUUUGUUAAGUCGGCUGUGAAAGCCCGGGGCUCAACCCCGGAGGGUCAGCCGAUACGGGCAGACUAGAGUUCGGCAGGGGAGACUGGAAUUCCUGGUGUAGCGGUGAAAUGCGCAGAUAUCAGGAGGAACACCGGUGGCGAAGGCGGGUCUCUGGGCCGAUACUGACGCUGAGGAGCGAAGGCUAGGGGAGCAAACAGG